GAUGAACGCUGGCGGCGUGCCUAAUACAUGCAAGUAGAACGCUGAAGGAAGGAGCUUGCUCUUUCCGGAUGAGUUGCGAACGGGUGAGUAACGCGUAGGUAACCUGCCUGGUAGCGGGGGAUAACUAUUGGAAACGAUAGCUAAUACCGCAUAACAGUAGAUGCUGCAUGAUAUCUACUUAAAAGGUGCAAUUGCACCACUACCAGAUGAACCUGCGUUGUAUUAGCUAGUUGGUGAGGUAACGGCUCACCAAGGCGACGAUACAUAGCCGACCUGAGAGGGUGAUCGGCCACACUGGGACUGAGACACGGCCCAGACUCCUACGGGAGGCAGCAGUAGGGAAUCUUCGGCAAUGGACGGAAGUCUGACCGAGCAACGCCGCGUGAGUGAAGAAGGUUUUCGGAUCGUAAAGCUCUGUUGUAAGAGAAGAACGAGUGUGAGAGUGGAAAGUUCACACUGUGACGGUAUCUUACCAGAAAGGGACGGCUAACUACGUG
rnacentral:rRNA from 1 species